CGCGUAGGCGGGAUUACAAGUCUGGGGUGAAAGUUCGAGGCUCAACCUCGAAUCUGCCUUGGAAACUGUAGUUCUUGAGUUCGGUAGAGGGGUACGGAAUUCCUGGUGUAGCGGUGGAAUGCGUAGAUAUCAGGAAGAACACCGGUGGCGAAGGCGGUACCCUGGCCCGAUACUGACGCUGAGGCGCGAAAGCGUGGGGAGCGAACAGGAUUAGAUACCCUGGUAGUCC
rnacentral:rRNA from 1 species